AUGAAGCUGUUGGAGAACUCCAGCGUUGAGGCCAUCAACUCACAGUUGAUAGUGGAGACUGGAGAUGCCCAUAUUAUUGGCAGGAUUGAAAGCUACUCAUGUAAGAUGGCAGGAGAUGAUAAGCUUUAUGUUCAAGCAGUUCUGCCAGGAGGACCAGCCCCAUGUGUUGGAGGCACUGUCCCCACCUCAGACUUCGGACCUCAGUCCCAGCAGACUGAGCAAGAGCCGGGGUGGUAAGGAUGAAAGUCCGCUGAGUGACAAGUGCAGCCGCAAGACCCUCUUCUAUCUGAUCGUCACCCUCAACGAGUCCUUCCGGACAGACUAUGACUUCAGCAGAACCAGAAAUCAUGAGAUCAGCAGAGAGCCAAGCCUCUGCUGGUUGGUAAAUGCAGUCAACUGCAGCCUGUUUUCAGCUGUUUCAAGACUUCAAGGCCCCACAGCCACAGCUGUGGAAUGCAGUGGGUGAGGAGAUCUGCUUAGCUGAAUGUGACAUCUACAGCUAUAACCCAGAUCUAGACUCAGAUCCCUUUGGGGGAGAUGGAAGCCUCUGGUCAUUCAACUAUUUCGUUUACAACAAGCGACUUAAACAAAUUGUCUUCUUUAAUUGCUGCUCCAUCAGUGGCUUCACCUACACACCGUCAGAGGCUGGCGAUGCACGGGACUUGGAACUGGGGACAGCAGAGGUUGAUAAAGAGCAGAGAAGUGGAGGCGGCGAGGGCCGGGUGGAGGAGACCAGCACCACGGAGGAAGACAGGGUUCCAGUGAUCUGUACGUGCUGAGAAGAAGCAGAGGCCUCAGCUUCAUCUAGCUUCGACCAAUGCCUGGACCUGCCUACCCCAGGAGCUCCAGAGCCUCCCCGGAUGCUGGCUAUGCCUUGGCACUGCCCAAGGCUAUACCUGCCCAGACCUUUGGUUUCAGCCUGUGGAUGUCCACUCACGCUGCAGGCUCCCACUGCCCAU